GGCAACUCAUUCUAGCGAUCUGCCAUUGAUGUGCCCUCCUUGUACUUCAAAUUUCAAGCUUUUUAAACACAUAAAUCUUAUUGUACUUUUUUCAAAGUACACUAGCCGAUGUGUCAUUCUCCACAUGGUGGUAAACAUUGCCAUCCAUGCCAAAUGAAGCCAACAUAUUAUCAAUUCAAGAGUUUCCACUUAUCGAUCAUAUCAUUAGGCUUGGCAUCGUCAUCCUCCAAGGGAGCAUGCAUCUCCUAAUAAGAAAGUAAGUCUAAUAUCUUGCCCUUCCAUGUUCUCCAAUCGUCACCAUCUAAACUCACCAUUCUAAUUAUAUUAAUCUUAAUAGCUUACUUAGAAAUUUUAUCAAACAUCCUGCAGGCACCAACCAUAGUUCUGAAACGACUUAUUAGGAAGGUGCCCUCUCCUCUCCUAAGCAAGCUAUAGAUAAUAUUCACAAUCAUAAUAUACAAUGACAACCAACAACUCAAUGGAAGUAGCAAAACUAAGCAACUAAGAGAGUAGAAACACCAACAAUUUACAUGGAAAAUCGUUCAAGAAAGAGAAAAACUUUGGGCACCAAGCAGGAUUCCACUAAUCAAUAAGAUGAAGAGUACAAAAGGUCUACAAUAACAAAAUUUUUUUAAGGACACAAGAAAAUAUCUACAAGAAAAUGCAUGAACAAGCUUCCAACUUACAAAAUUAGUAGACACACCCUCAAAGAGAGAAAUCCUAACUUUUUUGAAGCUUUAAACAACCUUGUAGAUAAAAUGAAUAAAGAAAACAAUUUGUUGUGCCUUAAACUUCAAUCUAAGAAGAACCUUGCAUGAGACCCUUAUUGUGUGUAUAGAACCAAAACCUUGCCCCUUUCCUAUUCUUCCUUGCACUCUUUCUCAUAUUAUGUAGGCUACCACUUAAAAAACAUGUUUCUUGUUAGUAAGGUCCAACACCUAUUAGUCUGGUGUGGGCUACUCCACAUGGGGAUAGCCUAAAGUACUAGUAGUAAACCCAACAAUCUCUAGUUAGCUCUUUGAUGUGCCUAACAUGUUCUAGUAAAGAAAUGUCAAUCUUGUUUAUGUUGCUUGCUGGUUAGAAAAAAAAUGAAGUAGAGCAUUGCAUGGCAAAAUUGAUGCCAAUUCAUAGAAGCAAUAGGAAUUACAACACAUCAGCUAUGUGACUUUUUGGGUUACAUAUCCGAGUUACUAAAGCAUUCUGGUUCAUGGCAUUUUAUUUGUUUGACUAAACCAUACAAAUCUUCCUAGAUUAAGCAUCAUUUAGGCCAUAUUAUCUAUAGUAGCCUCCUUUGGUAAUUUACAGACUCUUGCAUUGACAAUUUUUUAUUUUGUUGUGGGGUGCAGGGGAUGAAAGAAUUUAGAAUUUAUUCUUCAUGAUAAUCCAUCGCCAAAAGUUUGCAUCAUUAUUUUCAAGAUCGCAUACAUGUCAUUGACUUUUAAAGGCAUCAAUGAGUCUGUUUGGUGGAGUGGGUGGGAGGAAUAAGAUGUUACACAAUAGGAGACAAGGUAGGAACUCACCUAUGCUUGGGCUCUCCGCCUUUUCAACCGGGUCUCAAGCACUACUCUUUAUCAAUAAAUAUUUUAGCAGAAGAAAAUGCAUUAUAUUAUUUCUCCAUUUUUUAUUUAUGGAUCAUAUUUCUUUCAAUGCACACAUCUUAGUAGAAUAUGCUAGAAAAGAAAGAGAAGAUGGAGAGUCAAAAAGCUAGAAAAAAAUUUAAGAGAAGAGCCCUGGAAGCAUGGAAAAAAAUUUGGAAUAAAUCUUGUAUGAGUCCUUUACUCAAGUCCCUCCUUUAUAUUACAUAAUUGAUAAUAGUUUCUUGCUUGAAAGUCAUUCGACCAGAAUUAAUCAUACUGCUACUAUGAUGAUUUCAUUCCAUCUCUGUCUAUGUCAUUUCGAGAUAUGAAAGAUGGAUUUUAAGAGUAUGAAUUUGUUUGACCUAACAAUCAUUUGAAAAAAAUCCUAGAUACAUUUGAGCCAUAUGAGAUGAAGAGUUUGAAAGUUUCAUCAAGUUAUUAAGAAGAUGACUUUUCCAAACAUGGCUAGUAAAAAUAAUAUAAAAAGCUAAAAUUUUGCAAGAGGUAGAUCUCAACUUCGACAUCUACUUUAUGUUUAGCUGCUCUAUCUACUUCUUCCUGAUUGGUAAAUAUAUCUAGUUAAAGUCUUUUCUAAAAUGGAUAUUAAUGCAUUGAUUGGUCUAUUUUGGAGUCCAAAUAAUAAUAUUUGUCUUUGAUUGCUCGAUAUAUCUCAUUGUAAAGAGAAGACGCCAUGUCAAAGAGCUCAAAAAAAUACUUG
rnacentral:lncRNA from 1 species